CUUCAGGCUUAAAUAUAUAUAUUUUUUUUAAAUAUAUAUUUAACCCCAAUGCAACCAUACAGUGACCCAAAGCUGUUAAUUCCUGUGUCAUUCGGUCUCUUGUUGAGAGUCGUCUCAUUGACAAUCAUACCACAACUUCUAUUUUAUAUAAAACCAGAUGCUCCGCAGGGCACAGCUUUAUACAACUGCAGAGUUCGAACCCUGAACAUUG
rnacentral:lncRNA from 1 species